rnacentral:rRNA from 1 species
GACGAACGCUGGCGGCGUGCCUAAUACAUGCAAGUUGAGCGAUGAAGAUUGGUGCUUGCACCAAUUUGAAGAGCAGCGAACGGGUGAGUAACGCGUGGGGAAUCUGCCUUUGAGCGGGGGACAACAUUUGGAAACGAAUGCUAAUACCGCAUAAUAACUUUAAACAUAAGUUUUAAGUUUGAAAGAUGCAAUUGCAUCACUCAAAGAUGAUCCCGCGUUGUAUUAGCUAGUUGGUGAGGUAAAGGCUCACCAAGGCGAUGAUACAUAGCCGGCCUGAGAGGGUGAUCGGCCGCAUUGGGACUGAGACACGGCCCAAACUCCUACGGGAGGCAGCAGUAGGGAAUCUUCGGCAAUGGACGAAAGUCUGACCGAGCAACGCCGCGUGAGUGAAGAAGGUUUUCGGAUCGUAAAACUCUGUUGGUAGAGAAGAACGUUGGUGAGAGUGGAAAGCUCAUCAAGUGACGGUAACUACCCAGAAAGGGACGGCUAACUACGUG